rnacentral:rRNA from 1 species
AUGGUUAGGUUUUUCUGCUUUUCAUCCUCAACUACACAACAGAAACCGAAGGGGUGCUUUCUGCUAGCAGAUGAGACCAUGCUCACUGUUUCAAAGAAAGAUUCUCAGGAACAAACAGUGAAGUUCACUGCUGGAUCAGCGAGCCCGAACCAGAUGGCGGGUGAAAAUAACCAUUCAGUUGCUAGUGGGCAGUAUGAUAUUAACUCAUCAUCUCACCAAGAAUGCUGGAGAUCUGAUGAAUGGAAUAGACAUGCAUGCUCUGAUGAUGACAAGGAGGAGAAAGUUGGGCACCUACAGAAGAGUCAGUCUCUUGGAAACAUGCUUCAAGAGGAUUGUGAUCAUCAUGGCAGUGAAGGUACUGAAUGUGAUAUUACAGACCAUGAUUACAGAAGCCAUUGCUCUGGUUUCAAGAGCAAUACAGAUGUUGAAGAAUCCACUAGGCUAGGCAGCAAGAACAAUGGGAAUGUUUUUGAUGCCUCAUCUGACCUGAUCAGUCAUGGUGUUUAUGAACCUUCAGUUGAUCAUGCUGCUGACUCUGACAGGCAUCACUCUUAUGAUCAUAAGAAAUUUCCAAGGUCACAAUCUGCUAUAUUUCAGAAUAAUUCUGAUAGUGAUCGAGAAGUUUCUGUUGAUUCUGAGAGACUAGGCCCCCGUUGCAGAUCUUUUGAGGAUUUAUGUUCAAUGGACGGUGAAAAGGUUGAUUACUUGAGUGGCGAUGAAACAAAUCGCUCGAAAUCAAAUUUGCAUGUGCUUUGUGCUGGACCUUCUUCGCCAGGUAUCUCUGAAGCAUUAGGCUUGGAGGAUUGUUCGGGAGGUCGAUCUGGUGCUGCUGAAGAUGGCCAACGGUCCUCUGCAAGUGUGGAUGGAAAUUUUGUGAGGGAUGGGAUGCUAAGUCAUGACUACUGGGAUGGCAAAUAUAUUGCUGCUGAUAACAAAGCUUAUCCAGUUGCCGCUUGCUGUGCCGAUUCAGGGCAUAAUUGUGUCAUCAAUGGUGCUUUAGAUCAAGAAAGCAAAGAGAAAUUGUGGCACAGAAAUAGUGAUCUCUACCAUGAGUCACUUGGCAUUGACAUGCCUAAUUUGAAGAACCUGUCUGACUCGAAGGAUAUUAGUGAGGAAGCUGAACACAAUGAAACUGGAAUGAAUGGUGAUCAGCAUUUUGACGAGGACCUAAAUGAACUUAGUCCAAGAGCUUACAGCAUUAAAAGGAUCGAGGAUUGGAUCAGCCGAAUUGAUAUUGACAGUGACAUUAUUGUGGAGGAGCAGGGAGAAAGUUCAAGUUCUGCAUCAACAAAAUAUAGCGAGUCGGUGAUCAGUGUUUCUGCUGUGCGCCCUGAUGCUAAAAGUCCUCUUGGCAUGGAGAUAGCUUACACUUAUAUUUCAAAGUUGACUCCUGUUUCUUCAUCUGCACAACUGGCAAACCUUGGUUUGGUUGCAAUCCCAAGACUGAGUGCGUUCUCGGGCCUACGGCUGUUGAACUUAUCAGGGAACUCAAUAGUGCGCAUAACUGCAGGAGCUCUUCCGAAAGGUCUUCACAUGUUAAGCCUGUCGAAAAAUAAUAUCUCAAUUAUUGAAGGCCUUAGAGAACUAACGCGCUUACGCUUGCUGGACAUAAGCUAUAAUAGGAUCUCUAGGAUUGGCCAUGGUUUGGCUUCAUGUUCUUCUUUGAAGGAGUUAUAUCUGGCUGGUAACAAGAUCAGUGAGGUAGAUGGUCUUCACCGCCUUCUGAAGCUAAAAGUUCUGGACUUGCGCCACAACAAGAUCUCAACAUCUAAGGGCCUUGGUCAACUGGCUGCGAACUACAAUUCCCUCGAAGCCAUCAACCUAGAUGGCAACCCGGCACAGAAGAACGUAGGUGACCAGCACCUGAAGAAGUACCUGUUAGGUCUCUUGCCAAACCUUGCUGUGUACAACAAGCAGCCUGUAAGAGCAACUGGCUCAAAAGAGGUCUCGGACCGUCACACACGCAAGAUCUCUUCUUCCCAUCGUUCUGACCGCAGUUCCAGAUCGGACCGCAAAUCUUCCAGGUUGGUGGCUGGCACAUCUUCACGGCAUGCCCGUCCUGCACAUACUUCAGGCCCUUUGGUGAAGCAGUCGAGGUCCCGGAACAUGCCAAUGGCGGCGCUGGGCUCUAGACCAGUGGAAUAUGCAGGUGCUGGAGUUCCAGCGAAGCAAAUUCAGAUGGAGGAAAAAUCGCAGUGA